rnacentral:rRNA from 1 species
UAAUUUUGACAAUGGGGGAAACGCUGAUCCCGCCCUCCCGCGUGUAUGAUGAAGGCCCUCGGGUUGUAUAGUACUUUUGGCAGAGUAGAAAAGGAAUCUCCCAAUACGAGAUACUGCUGACGGUACCAGCAGAAUAAGCACCGGCUAACUUCGUGCCAGCAGCCGCGGUAAUACGUAGGGUGCAAGCGUUAAUCAGAAUUACUGGGCGUAAAGCGUGUAUAGGCGGUCCGGAAAGAAAGAUGUGAAAGCAGCGCGCACAACCUUGGAACUGCAGUAUUAACUGCCGAGCUAGAGGAUAGCAGAGGGGGGAAGAAGUCCACGUGUAGCAGUGAAAAGCGUAGAUAUGUGGAGGAAUAACGAUGACGAAGGCAGCCCCCUGGGAUAAUACUGACGCUCAGACACGAAAGCGGGAGGAGCAAAC